GUGGGGAAUUUUGGACAAUGGGCGCAAGCCUGAUCCAGCGACGCCGCGUGGAGGACGAAGGCCUUCGGGUUGUAAACUCCUUUUGGAGGGGAAGAAUAAAUUGACGGUACCCUCAGAAAAAGCCACGGCUAACUACGUGCCAGCAGCCGCGGUAAUACGUAGGUGGCGAGCGUUACUCGGAAUUACUAGGCGUAAAGCGUAUGUAGGUGGUUAGAUAAGUCUAUGGUGAAAUUUCCUGGCUUAACUGGGAAGGGACAUAGAUACUAUCUGGCUUGAGUGUGGGAGGGGGAGACGGAAUUCCUGGUGUAGCGGUGAAAUGCGUAGAUAUCAGGAGGAACACCGAUGGCGAAAGCAGUCUCCUGGCCCAAUACUGACACUGAGGUACGAAAGCUAGGGUAGCAAACAGGAUUAGAAACCCGAGUAGUCC
rnacentral:rRNA from 1 species